rnacentral:sRNA from 1 species
UGUAAAUAUAAGGAAGACGGGUCUUUAAAAUUAUUUCCAAUGAGGAUUUUUUGCCCGGGUAUUGUAAAUCAAUUAUUCUCUGGGGUUGGGGCAAUUCAUGAGUGUAAGUACUGUGUACAUGUACAUAUACAGUCUAAAUUUGUCAGUUGUUUGUACAUAAAGUAAUGUGAUGUCUCUUUUUUACAGAGUUAUGGGAUUCGUAUCACUGAAUGUAUUAUUGUACGUCGUACAAAUUCAUGGAUUAGAAAAUCUUGCACUACAUCAGCCUACUUGGGGGCAAUAUGCAUGGCCAGACAAGAGUAGAGACUUUGGUAGUGAGAAUGCAGUGGACGUCUGUAACAACAAUACCUACGGACCAGAAUGUGCUUUAAAAUGUGGCAACUGCAGCAAUGGAGAGACGUGUCACCACAUCAACGGUACCUGUCCUCACGGAUGUGCUGUAGGAGGCGAAAGCUGCCAGGAAGGGUGCCAAUCUGGAUAUUAUGGACGAAAUUGCAGUCACCGUUGUAGCGAAAACUGCAUUGUCACCAGUCAAUGUGACAGAUUUACAGGACGAUGUGACGGUGGGUGUAAACCAGGAUGGGCAGGAAACACAUGUAACCAAAUUAGAUCAACCAACAAGCAAACUUGUUCAUGCACAGAGAGCUACAACAUUGUAAUUGUCGUGGUAUCAGUUCUGAUUGUUGCCACAGGAAGUCUGAUAAAUUUUGUCAUCUGGAAGAGAAAUGCUGCGAAAUUUUCCAAAAUGAGCCUGGGGAAUAUGCCGCAACCUACAAGUAAAAGAGAGGAAAAGGAUCAUCAGUAUACAGAACUUGAAGAAGUUGACAAAACCAAGACAUAUGAAGAAAUCCAUAGUUAUUCCAACUGAAACCGGCAGUAACCUAACGUCUUUGAAGAGGUUUUCAACAAAGAGCUAGAGCUACAAAGCAUCAAAAUAUGGCACAAAAUUUGUUUGAAAGAAUUUUAAGUUUCAUUUGUUACACUGUAGGGUACAAUAUCCUGCUUUUCUACAACUGUAUUUGUUUCACCUCGAGCUCUGCACAUACGCAACAUCAAACAUGCCAUCGUCGUGGAAAUUGUAGCUUUAUCUGCAGUAUUUGCAAAAUUUGAAUUUUGCCAAAAUUGAGAACUUCUUUAAAACUUUU